UACGGGGGGGGCAAGCGUUGUUCGGAAUUACUGGGCGUAAAGGGCUCGUAGGCGGCCAACUAAGUCCGACGUGAAAUCCCAAGGCUUAACCUUGGAACUGCGUCGGAUACUGGAUGGCUUGAGAUUGGGAGAGGGAUGCGGAAUUCCAGGUGUAGCGGUGAAAUGCGUAGAUAUCUGGAGGAACACCGGUGGCGAAGGCGGCAUCCUGGACCAACACUGACGCUGAGGAGCGAAAGCCAGGGGAGCAAACAGG
rnacentral:rRNA from 1 species